rnacentral:rRNA from 1 species
UACGAGGAUUCUAUGAGAGGGCAAGGUCUGGUGCCAGCAGCCGCGGUAAUUCCAGCUCUCAAAGUGUAUAUCGUCAUUGCUGCGGUUAAAAAGCUCGUAGUUGGAUUCUGCGUCUCAGGACCUGGUCCAUUUCAUUGGGAUGAGAACUGGGCUCCUAGGCUAAUAUUGCCAGUUUUCCUUACGUUACCUUGAUUGGUUGCGUAUGGUGGCUAGCAAGUUUACCUUGAAAAAAUUAGAGUGCUCAAUGCGGGCUAAUGCCUGAAUACUCGUGCAUGGAAUAAUGAAAUAGGAUCUCGGUUCUAUUUUGUUGGUUUUCUGAUCUGAGAUAAUGGUUAAGAGGGACGGACGGGGGCAUUCGUAUCGCUGCGUGAGAGGUGAAAUUCUUGGACCGUAGCGAGACGUACGACUGCGAAAGCAUUUGCCAAGAAUGUCUUCAUUAAUCAAGAACGAAAGUCAGAGGUUCGAAGGCGAUCAGAUACCGCCCUAGUUCUGACCGUAAACGAUACCAACUAGCGUUCCGUCGGCGGUAAAUACGCCUUGACGGGCAGCUUCCCGGAAACGAAAGUUUUUCGGUUCCGGGGGAAGUAUGGUUGCAAAGCUGAAACUUAAAGAAAUUGACGGAAGGGCACCACCAGGAGUGGAGCCUGCGGCUUAAUUUGACUCAACAGGGGAAAACUCACCUGGCCCGGACACCGUGAGGAUUGACAGAUAGAGAGCUCUUUCAUGAUUCGGUGGUUGGUGGUGCAUGG